UCCCAAAAGUCUAGAGAAUUUAUUCUUGGUCAUUUUCAUUGGGUAACCCUGAGUUCUAAGCUGCCCAGGACAUUUCCUGCACAAAAGCAUGGUACAUAUGAUUUUAAACAAAUAACAAGCCCAUUUCAUAUGACAUGGUGACUAAAGAUGGAGUUCUGAUGUCCAAACAAGUUUGCAUUUGCUAAGCAAGGUAACUAAAAAUGUAAAAAUGUUUUCAGUUAAAUGCUUUUAAGCAAGCUAGGACUGGCUGGGUUAGCUGAAAGACUGUUGAGACAGCCACAAGUACAUCACCCAGAAGGAUAAUAAAGAGGAGACUCGAUGGGUUCCAGCUCUUCCUUCUCAUAGUUUUUUUUAACAUUCUUAUACUGUAAUUUUGAAUGGCAGCCUUUUAAACAAAGGACUGCCCUCUGUAAAAGAGGGCACACAGCUUCGAUAAAGACCAUUAUCAAUUUAUCCAAAUCCUAGGAUCAGCUUCAAAAACCUACUUUCCAGUCUGCUGUUACUCUCCUCCCUUUCAGCCUCCCAUCCAGAAGGUUGUCCAAAAUGUCCUCCAUAUUGAGCAGGGCUAAGAAGGAUGAUUUAAUAUUUAUAUGAGUGGGGUUUUUUAUGUUUUAUUUUUUCUUUAGAACUUUUAUUUGGUUAGGUCUUCCAUUUUUUUCUUGUGUGCUUUCCCCCUGGAAGUCCCUUCCCCAGCACCCAGUGACACUUGGUACAGGAACGCCACUGAGUUUGGGCACUCUGUCUCUAAAAUGUUCAUCAUCACUGGCCUAGAGUGUUUGGCCUUAACGCUCUUGAGUGCAAAAGAAGUGUGUAUUCACAGAAGAAAUUUGGUAUUACAUUUUCUUUCAAAAUUUUAGAUCUGUUUAACCGUACUGUUAAGUUUCUUGUACCCGGAUACAGAAAAAAGAUGAGACUAUUAGAAACAAAAUAAACAAUUAAUGGAAAUUAAAUACCAAUGUAGUUAUGUUUGUUCA